UCUACGUAACUCACGAUUGUAUAUUAGUUUUAAAUAACCCUACGGAGGUUAAGGAAACUGCCGCAACCUAUCUGUUCUUCUUUGUUUCCGUUACCAUAUCGAUUCGCAUACUUCCCCUACACCCCAAAUACACCGAUCAAACCCCCUCCUUGGGACUGCCAUAUUUGCGUCGACCAGAGGAAAAAAUAGGGAGAAAAGCAAGUGUGAACGAGAUAGUAAAACAAAAGAGAGUGAGACUAAAGAAAAGGGAAGUUCGAGAGUGUGGUUAUCUUUGGGACGUGACCAGGUCCUUCGAGAGUGGAAGAAGAGAACCGCCAACUGGGCAAAGGGUAGAACCUAGCACUUAGCAUGAAACCCUAUUCGGAUACCUUCGAGCCUGGUUGGUUGAAAAAUACCUUCUAGGAAAAGCGCUUAAGCCAUUUACAAGUUGCUCGGUCUUUCUAGAUGCCCGUGCGACACAUGGUACGUGUACACUUUGGUGUUUGUGGACUGGAGUGAUGUUGGCCAUUCGAACAAGGCUUGUACAAACAUCACGUAGGUGUUAGGAGGUGGCGGACGAAUGCCACCGCUUGUACCAACACCAGAACGACACCGCGAUGUACUUGUACAUUAACAUAGUCGGAGUAGUGAAAGUGGAGUCUUGGGGUCGGUGUGACGGGUGGGAGUCGCGAACCACCUAAAGCAUUUGGCUGGCCAAGUACACAAGUAGCAAACGGGUUUUUCCCUUGGGGUUUGGCAUCACUAUGAGACUACCUACGCCUAUACGAUUAUGAUAGAUUUCUUUGAUAUGAUGAUGUACUAUUAUGAUAUGAUUAUGCAUGAAAUAUGAUUGAUGUUACACUAAUGAAUGAUAUGUAAAUGGAUGAUACAUAAAUUGAAUGAUUGAAUUUUAUGCGAAUGAUGAUUGAUUAUUGAUUGACAUGUCAUUUUUGUUUAUAUGAUCAUAAUUUGAAUGAUUGACCCGUUAGGGGAUGGUAUGUUUUCCUUUUUGUUGUGUACAAACUUCUAUUGGCUCACGAAGCAUUUGCUGACACUUGUUUCUUUGCUUUGCGUCUUUACGAUUGGUACAGGUAGCUUAGGAGCUUGACUUGGUGAGAUGGGAUCACUUUUGGGUAGUUUAUCAUUAGAAUAAAAAUCCACUUGAAAACGUUAUUUAAUUUUGAAACUUAUGCGUUCGCUACAAUUAAAUAAUUUUGAUAUCUUGGUUUUGAAUUGAACGUAACGUUGUGGUUUAAAAUGUUUUUGAAAUAAACAAUGUUAUAGUCUUCCGUUGCA